GCCGCGGUAGCUCAGUGGUAGAGCACUGGUCUGAAAAACCAGGUGUCGGUAGUUCGAUCCUACCCCGCGGCACCC
rnacentral:tRNA from 4 species